rnacentral:rRNA from 1 species
CGAACGCUGGCGGCGCGUUUAAGCAUGCAAGUCGAGCGGCAAGGGCCUUCGGGCCCCUAGAGCGGCGGACGGGUGAGUAACACGUGGACAAUCUGCCCCCCGGCCCGGGAUAGCCCAGGGAAACCUGGAUUAAUACCGGAUGAGACGGGACCCGCGAUGGCGGGAUCCGGGAAAGGCGCUGCGGCGCCGCCGGGGGAUGAGUCUGCGUCCCAUUAGCUAGACGGCGGGGUAACGGCCCACCGUGGCGACGAUGGGUAGCCGGCCUGAGAGGGUGGACGGCCACAUUGGAACUGAGACACGGUCCAGACUCCUACGGGAGGCAGCAGCUAAGAAUCUUCCGCAAUGGGCGAAAGCCUGACGGAGCGACGCCGCGUGAACGAAGAAGGCCGUGAGGUUGUAAAGUUCUUUUCGGGAGGGGAACAACCGUGGCAGGGAAUGGCCGCGGGAUGACGUGAAUCCCGGAAUAAGCCCCGGCUAACUACGUGCCAGCCGCGGC